UACGAAGGGUGCAAGCGUUAAUCGGAAUUACUGGGCGUAAAGCGUGCGCAGGCGGUUUUGUAAGACAGAGGUGAAAUCCCCGGGCUCAACCUGGGAACUGCCUUUGUGACUGCAAGGCUAGAGUACGGCAGAGGGGGGGUGGAAUUCCGCGUGUAGCAGUGAAAUGCGUAGAUAUGCGGAGGAACACCGAUGGCGAAGGCAACCCCCUGGGCCUGUACUGACGCUCAUGCACGAAAGCGUGGGGAGCAAACAGG
rnacentral:rRNA from 1 species